GGGGGCAGGGAAUGAGACAAGGAACAUCCGCUCCCUUGUUGUUUGUCUUCUUUUGAACUGAGCGCGGUCGGCUCAGCCGGCGCCAUCAAGCCAACGGUCAUUGGCGGCUCCAUCUCCUCUCAGCCCCUGCAAAAAACUGCUCCCGAGCCCCCAUCGGACCGCCCCGACUCCGGUGUCUCGCCUCCACCGCCAAGACCCAAAAGCAGGGCUCCACUACCUCGCCGUUUUCCACCGACUACGAAUCGUGGCACAGCGCUCACACCACGCUGGUUCGCAAGCAAUAGGGGCUAGACCUCGGCGCAGCGACACUACCAUGCUCUAUUCCGCCGACUGUGACCCCCCGGGUAGGUCCGGACCUCGGCGCUGCCUGACCGCUCCACCGACUACAGACCCCAGCGCAGCAACAUUACCACGCUGCCACGUAACUGACGGAAAAUAAGGAGUGACGAUCCGAUCCUUGCCUCACACAGGGCACAAGUUGUUACCACCGACAACCACCAUAGUCCCAAGCUGCACCGUCAGGGGCUAGCGAUCAGAGCUCGCUAGGACCAUAGCAACAGACACCAAUAUGGGGAAGCUGCAAAAUGGCGUUUAUUCACUAAUACACACAGCUUAUAUACCUUACUUGAGCUAUCGUGCCCUGUCCUGAUUUGUCCAUACUGGAUCUUAGCCCCUUACCACAAUUCCUUAUUUGGCUCCUAUUGUCUCCUCAUUCCUUCACCUUCUUAUCUUGUUUACUUCGUUAGCAAGGACAGUCUGUCUGAGCACAACAGCACCCUUCCACUAUGCUUAGGGAGAGGCCUAUCCCGUACAGCACGUAUCCCCGCCAAGCGCCUACUACAACACCAACAUAUAUCAGGGAAGUUAAAGUCUCCCAUGAGAACGAGUGCUGGCGAUUGCGCGACUUCUGCAAGCUGCUCAUAGAAUGCCACGUCCUUGUCUUCAUCCUGAUUAGGUGGUCUAUAACAGACCCCCACCAAGAUGUCACCCCAACAGGCCUUCCCCCCGAUCCUUAUCCAUAGACACUCAACUUCAUCAUUCCCAACCCCAAGCUCUUCAACAUCAAAACACUCUUUAAUAUAAAGAGCCACACCACCACCCUUCCUUCCUCAUCUAUCCCCUCUGAAGAGCUUGUAGCCAUCCAUCACAGCACUCCAGUCAUGGGAGUGGUCCCACCAUGUUUCAGUAAUAGCAACUAGGUCAUAGUUAGCCUGCUGCACAAUCGCUUCCAGCUCCUCCUGCUUGUUGCUCAUGCUGUGUGCAUUGAUGUAGAUGCACUUCAGCUGAGUCAUCUGCCUCACCCCCAGCUCAAGCAUUGUUCUCCUAGGCUCAUUUCUGGUGAGCCGUUUUGUCCCCUUCCUCCAUCGUAGAUAGUUUAGAGCUCUUUUGAUAAGCCCUGCUGGCUCCUGCGCUAGGAUUUGUUUCCCCCUUUGAGAUAUGUGGGUUCCAUCCAUGGACAACAGGCCAGGGGCCAAGUGCCCCAUGGCCGAAAAAACACAAGUUCCUGCCUCGACACCAGCCUCUGAGCCAAUUAUUCGUUACCUGUGUUUUCCAAGCUCGCUCCAUGUCCUUCACUGCCCCUGAAGGUAUAGAACAAAAGAUCACUUGCACUCCCACUCCUUGAACUAAAUGCCCUAAAUCCCUGAAAUCUCUUUUCAUAGUUCGCAGGCUUCUCUGAGCGAUUUCAUCACUGCCCACCUGAACUAUGAGUAAUGGGAAGUAAUCAGUGGACCAAACCAGCUUUGGAAGUUUUCUAGUUAUGUUCCUGACUCGGGCCCCGGGAAGGCAGCACACUUCCCAAUGGCUCGGGUCCGGUCUGCAAAUGGGGCCCUCUGUUCCUCUGAGAAGGAGAGUCACCACAUCCACCCUUCUUUCUUUCCUGACAGAGGCAGUCUCAAGGUGUGGGGGUGACCGCCUUGCCUUAGGCUCCCUCCUAGGCAGAUCCUUCCUUGCCUCCCCACUCACCUCCCCUUCAAUUUCCAGCAUCUCAAACAUGUUGUUUAGUGUCAGGUCUGUCUGACUGUGACAGGGCAGGGGGUCCACCACUUUUCUGGGAUAUCUCCCUGGCACCCUUCCCUCUGGCACUCCAGCGAGUCCAGAUAGAUACAGAUACACACAGAUAGUGUGGAUGCAGUUCAGUGCUGUUGGGUGUGGAAAAUAACCUGAAACUUUAAGGUGCUGAAUGAAGAGAGAUUUAGUCUUAGCUUCUAGGACAGUGAAAGUCUUCUCAUGGCUAGCCUGGUUUUUAUCCAGCAGGCCCAGGGCUUAAAGAAUCUUUGUGCUGAUGCUAAGUGACACAAACUCAUCAUCCUCUGCUAUUUAGUGUAAAUCUACCUAAUGCUACAUACACACAGCCCUUCUGCUUGAGGUCCCCAAGUCAAACAUUUCCCAUGCUGUUUUCCUUGCUUGUGUUUACCACGUAGGAGAAUGGGAAAUUAAGUAAAUGCAGAGUUGCUGUUUAAAAUCAGUUUUAGUAGGUAGGGACCAAGGUAAUCUCAGUAAAGAAAGAUAGCAUGCUCUUCUGGUGCUUUCCUUUUUUCAUGUAACCACUUUGCCAUCUCUCAAAGAGUAGUUCUUACUGGUUCCAUUGAAUUUUUGCACAUUUUGAUUGCUUGAAUCCUUUUUAGAGUUUUAUUUCUCUUGCAGAUCUAGGCUUGCAGUUAUGAAGUAUUGAUGGGCUUCUGACAGGGUUGUCAUUUGGAAAAGCUUUAGGUUUUUUAUCAGUAUUUUUGCAUGCUUAGUAUUGUGUCUGGAUACAGUUCUUUUGCUUACAGUGUUUUUAUUGUGCUCCAUACUCCAUGUUGUCAUCGGACUGGUGUGAGUUGUGACACUCGAGAGUUCAUCUGACAUUUGUAGUUUUUUGGACAGCUAGUGAAUUGGUGAUGUUUCUCAUCAUCAGAGUAUUACUUGUCAUUUACUUAGGACACUGAGUCAUGUUUUUUAGUCUAAUUUUUGUCGAAUAGAUUUUUUUAUAUAAAAAUAAAACACUCAUAUAAAACAUAUAAAACAACUCAUAUAAAACACGCAUAUAAAACACUCUUCUUUUUUUUUUCUUUUUCUUUUUUCCUUUUUUUUUUAAUUGCCUUUACUUUCUAUCUUCCCCUUAGCUACAAGCAUGUUCCCUAAGCUAAUGUUUAAUUGGACAUUUUGUUAUUGGCUACUUGCUUGAUCUGUUGGAGAAUAAACACUUUUUUUUGCAAGGUAUCAUUUUUAUGAGCUAAUUCAUAGUCUGUUUUUUGUCUUCUUCAGGGAGAAAAGUUAGUGCUAGCUUUGCCUAAGCAUUAAGGACUGUUUUGUAUUGGAAUGAUGGACCAUAGUCCCUGAGACUGAACACUGUAUUUAGUUUACUUUGGCUACAAUUUUUACUUGUCAGUUAUACUUUAAUAUAUUUCUUCUUAAAUAAAAAUUAAAAAAAAAAUCCUCUCUAUUUGUUAGAGUUCCAAUCUCUUUUUACUAAUUCUCUGUAGUUACGUAUUUUAUUAUUUAUUUUUAAAAUUGAAGAUGCAAUAAAAUAGUAAUUCUGAGCAUACAAAACUAAAUUGCAUAUGAGAAGGAAAUGAGACAUUUACAUUCUGAUAAGUUAGAGCUUGGAGAAUGAGCUUUUUCAUUCCAUUUCUCUUUCUCCAACCAGAGAUGAAAAAAAAAAAGAGCAUAAAUUAAGGAGUUCUGGAGAAACUAAAUUGUACUACAUUUAAUUAAAUAAAAUGUGAAUGUCAGGAAUAUUUGACCAGUGCAGGAAAUGUGGACUCCUUCACAAGGAGAUGGGAAAAGAUUACCCCAGCAGCCAAAAAACUCCUGCUUAGGUAUGCAGCCAGGAGCAGAUGCAGCAACCACCAAUGCUUACAAGAACAAAACAAUUUUUGGAGUACAAUGUAUAAAGUUUUACUAGCAUUUAUUCCUGUCAUCACUUCAUAUAACAAAAUUAGUCUCCUUCAUUUUGAUUUUUUUUCUAGUUACUAGCUUGUACUUCAUUUGCCACGUAUCUGUUAUCACUAUGAUAAGUUAAAAUACUGUUCAAAUAAGUAGACGUACCUCACUUCAGCAAGGCACUUGAGUGUAUACUUAUCUUCAAAUACAUGAUUCAGUCUCACUGACUGUUAUCACUGAAGGCUUAAAUGUUUUGUUGAAGUGGGGCUGUACUGUUAGCAGGGAGUAUUUCCCAGCAUUUUUGUAAUUCUCAGUUAAGAUGACCAAAUAAAAAUCGUGUAAUUG